rnacentral:sRNA from 1 species
GCUGAGGUAACCACAGAUCUUUUGCUGCCACUCAUCCAGCUCCUGAACACCCAUAUCUGAGAUGUCCUGCCAGCAGAGCCAGCAGCAGUGCCAGCCCCCUGCCAAGUGCCCUCCUAAGUGUCAAACCCCAAAGUGCCCUCCAAAAUGCCCCCCAAAAUGUCCUCCCAAGUGCCCGCCUGUGUCUUCCUGCUGUAGCCUGGGUUCUGGGGGCUGCUGCAGCUCUGGUGGCUGCUGUGGCUCCAGCUCUGGUGGCUGCUGCAGCUCUGGGGGAGGAGGCUGCUGCCUGAGCCACCACAGACCCCGCAGAUCUCUCCGUCGCCAUCGCCACAGCUCUGGAUGCUGCAGCAGUGGUGGGAACAGUGGCUGCUGUGGCAGCAGUGGCUGCUGUGGCAGCAGUGGUGGCAGCAGUGGCUGCUGUGGCAGUAGCCAGCAGUCUGGAGAUUGCUGUUGACCUGGGUGUGGAAAAUUUCAGUCAAAUGGUGCUGGAAAGCACAAACAUAUGCAAUGUUUGUUGUUGUCUCCCCCUGCCUCCCUCCUUGCUCUGCCCUCUGAUGUCCUGAAUUCUCAUGAAAAAUGUUCUGUAUUCUCCUCAGACAAUGUCAAUCCCUCCUUUCUUCUUUGUUAUAAAUUAAUAAAGCCUUGACAAUCAUCCCUGACAAGA